rnacentral:snRNA from 1 species
AGAUUCGAAAAACUCCAAACAUAC